UACAGAGGGGGCUAGCGUUAUUCGGAAUUAUUGGGCGUAAAGGGCGCGUAGGCGGCCAUGCGUGUCUUCCGUGAAAUCCCUCGGCUUAACUGAGGACGUGCGGAAGAAACUGCAAGGCUCGAGUCCGGGAGAGGGGGGUGGAAUUCCCAGUGUAGCGGUGAAAUGCGUAGAUAUUGGGAGGAACACCGGUGGCGAAGGCGGCCCCCUGGACCGGUACUGACGCUGAGGCGCGAAAGCCAGGGGAGCAAACGGG
rnacentral:rRNA from 1 species